AACGAACGCUGGCGGCAGGCUUAACACAUGCAAGUCGAGCGCCCCGCAAGGGGAGCGGCAGACGGGUGAGUAACGCGUGGGAACGUACCUUUUGGUUCGGAACAACUCCGGGAAACUGGAGCUAAUACCGGAUAAGCCCUAACGGGGAAAGAUUUAGCGCCGAAAGAUCGGCCCGCGUCUGAUUAGCCAGUUGGUGAGGGAACGGCUCACCAAGGCGACGAGCAGUAGCUGGUCUGAGAGGAUGAUCAGCCACACUGGGACUGAGACACGGCCCCGCCUCCUCCCGGCGGCACCGGUGGGGGCUCUUGGCCCGUGGGCGCGCGCCUGCUCCAGCCAUGCCGCGUGAGUGAUGAAGGCCUUCGGGUUGUCCCGCUCUUUUGUCCGGGCUGCUCCUGCCUGUCCCGGCCGCCUCCGCCCCGGCUCCCUUCGUG
rnacentral:rRNA from 1 species